rnacentral:tmRNA from 1 species
GGGGGCGUAAAGGUUUCGACGGGGAUUUAGAACUAAUGUAAGCGGGUAGUAUGGGCGAAAAUACUUUAAAAGUCGCAACUUAAAUAUAAACGCUAACGAAAAUAACGAUUUAGCACUUUGCGCAGCUUAAUUUAAGCUGUCCGUGUGAUAAUUCAUACCACGGGCUUUUUCACACGUCAAUUUAGUGGUGAACUUCUUUUAAGAGCGUCUUGACUUAAUUGAGGUUUAAUUAAGACUACCUUCGCUUAUUGCUCGUUUAUCAGCUGUUUGCGUUGGGAAGCUAAACGGUAAACUACACUCGUAGAAAGCAUUACGGACAAAUUUUCGGACAGGGGUUCGACUCCCCUCGCCUCCACCA